GUUGCAGGGUAUAGACCCGAAACCCGGUGAUCUAGCCAUGGGCAGGUUGAAGGUUGGGUAACACUAACUGGAGGACCGAACCGACUAAUGUUGAAAAAUUAGCGGAUGACUUGUGGCUGGGGGUGAAAGGCCAAUCAAACCGGGAGAUAGCUGGUUCUCCCCGAAAGCUAUUUAGGUAGCGCCUCGUGAAUUCAUCUCCGGGGGUAGAGCACUGUUUCGGCAAGGGGGUCAUCCCGACUUACCAACCCGAUGCAAACUGCGAAUACCGGAGAAUGUUAUCACGGGAGACACACGGCGGGUGCUAACGUCCGUCGUGAAGAGGGAAACAACCCAGACCGCCAGCUAAGGUCCCAAAGUCAUGGUUAAGUGGGAAACGAUGUGGGAAGGCCCAGACAGCCAGGAUGUUGGCUUAGAAGCAGCCAUCAUUUAAAGAAAGCGUAAUAGCUCACUGGUCGAGUCGGCCUGCGCGGAAGAUGUAACGGGGCUAAACCAUGCACCGAAGCUGCGGCAGCGACGCUUAUGCGUUGUUGGGUAGGGGAGCGUUCUGUAAGCCUGCGAAGGUGUGCUGUGAGGCAUGCUGGAGGUAUCAGAAGUGCGAAUGCUGACAUAAGUAACGAUAAAGCGGGUGAAAAGCCCGCUCGCCGGAAGACCAAGGGUUCCUGUCCAACGUUAAUCGGGGCAGGGUGAGUCGACCCCUAAGGCGAGGCCGAAAGGCGUAGUCGAUGGGAAACAGGUUAAUAUUCCUGUACUUGGUGUUACUGCGAAGGGGGGACGGAGAAGGCUAUGUUGGCCGGGCGACGGUUGUCCCGGUUUAAGCGUGUAGGCUGGUUUUCCAGGCAAAUCCGGAAAAUCAAGGCUGAGGCGUGAUGACGAGGCACUACGGUGCUGAAGCAACAAAUGCCCUGCUUCCAGGAAAAGCCUCUAAGCAUCAGGUAACAUCAAAUCGUACCCCAAACCGACACAGGUGGUCAGGUAGAGAAUACCAAGGCGCUUGAGAGAACUCGGGUGAAGGAACUAGGCAAAAUGGUGCCGUAACUUCGGGAGAAGG
rnacentral:rRNA from 1 species